rnacentral:rRNA from 1 species
AUACCCUAUUAUUUUUAAUGUAAAAGUUUAAGCCGGAGUAGUAUUAGUUAUGAUCUUUAAACUUAAAGAAUUUGGCGGUAUUAUAGUCUAUUUAGAGGAAUCUGUUAUGUAAUCGAUAGUCCGCGUUGAACCUUACUUAUAUAAAUUCUUGUAUACCGCUGUUUAGUGAAUAUACUUUUAGGUUAUUUUCUGAAUAAAUUAAUAAUUAGGAUUUCAAGUCAAGGUGCAGUAAUAUAUAAGAUAAAUAAUGGAUUACAAUAAAUUAUAUUUAUACGGAUAUUUUUUGUUAAAAGAGUUUGAAGGUGGAUUUAAUUGUAAUUUUUUGAAGAUUAUUUUAAUGAUUAUAGCUCUAUAAUAUGUACACAUCGCCC